rnacentral:rRNA from 1 species
CCAGACUCCUACGGGAGGCAGCAGUAGGGAAUUUUGCGCAGUGGGGGAAACCCUGACGCAGCAACGCCGCGUGAUUGAUGAAGCCCUUCGGGGUGUAAAGAUCUGUCAGUGGGGACGAAACUUGACGGUACCCACAGAGGAAGCAUCGGCUAACUCCGUGCCAGCAGCCGCGGUAAUACGGAGGAUGCGAGCGUUAUCCGGAUUUAUUGGGUUUAAAGGGUGCGCAGGCGGAAUGUCAAGUCAGCGGUAAAAUUUCGGGGCUCAACCCCGUCGUGCCGUUGAAACUGGCUGUCUUGAGAUGUCGAGAGGUAUGCGGAAUGCGCAGUGUAGCGGUGAAAUGCUUAGAUAUUGCGCAGAACUCCGAUUGCGAAGGCAGCAUACCGGCGGCGAUCUGACGCUGAGGCACGAAAGCGUGGGUAUCGAACAGGAUUAGAUACCCGAGUAA